rnacentral:sRNA from 1 species
GGGGGCGGGGCGACGCCGGACUCCGGAGCGCCCGCUUACGCAGUUCCUCCCGGGGUCGGAGGCCGAUUCGCCGUGUGGCGGGUUCGAGUCCCGCCUCCUGACUCUGGCCUCUAGUCCCUGAGUCCCGGGCGGGCUGCAUUCGCCGGGGAAACCUCUCCUCGACCAGGGGCACCUCUACUCGACCAGGGGCGACGGCGUACUUUGGGCUUCAUCAUGGAGGACUACCUGCAGGGUUGUCGAGCUGCUCUGCAGGAGUCCCGACCUCUACAUGUUGUGCUGGGAAAUGAAGCCUGUGAUUUGGACUCCACGGUGUCUGCUCUUGCCCUGGCUUUUUACCUAGCAAAGAAGGUUCAUAUUCCAGAGAGUAUCUUGAUUUUUCGGGAUGAGAUUGACCUCCAUGCAUUAUACCAGGCUGGCCAACUCACCCUCAUCCUUGUCGACCAUCAUAUCUUAUCCAAAAGUGACACAGCCCUAGAGGAGGCAGUAGCAGAGGUGCUAGACCAUCGACCCAUCGAGCCGAAACACUGCCCUCCCUGCCAUGUUUCAGUUGAGCUGGUGGGGUCCUGUGCUACCCUGGUGACCGAGAGAAUCCUGCAGGGGGCACCAGAGAUCUUGGACAGGCAAACUGCAGCCCUUCUGCAUGGAACCAUCAUCCUGGACUGUGUCAACAUGGACCUUAAAAUUGGAAAGGCAACCCCAAAGGACAGCAAAUAUGUGGAGAAACUAGAGGUCCUUUUCCCAGACCUACCCAAGAGAAAUGAUAUAUUUGGUUCCCUACAAAAGGCAAAGUUUGAUGUAUCAGGACUGACCACUGAGCAGAUGCUGAGAAAGGACCAGAAGACUAUCUAUAGACAAGGCGUCAAGGUGGCCAUUAGUGCAAUAUAUAUGGAUUUGGAGGCCUUUCUGCAGAGGUCUAACCUCCUUGCAGAUCUCCAUGCUUUCUGCCAGGCUCACAGCUAUGAUGUCCUGGUUGCCAUGACUAUCUUUUUCAACACUCACAAUGAGCCAGUGCGGCAGUUGGCUAUUUUCUGUCCCCAUGUGGCACUCCAAACAACGGUGAGUCUG